GAUGAACGCUGGCGGCGUGCCUAAUACAUGCAAGUCGAGCGAACGGACGAGAAGCUUGCUUCUCUGAUGUUAGCGGCGGACGGGUGAGUAACACGUGGAUAACCUACCUAUAAGACUGGGAUAACUUCGGGAAACCGGAGCUAAUACCGGAUGAUAUUUUGAACCGCAUGGUUCAAAAGUGAAAGACGGUCUUGCUGUCACUUAUAGAUGGAUCCGCGCUGCAUUAGCUAGUUGGUAAGGUAACGGCUUAACAAGGCAACGAUGCAUAGCCGACCUGAGAGGGUGAUCGGCCACACUGGAACUGAGACACGGUCCAGACUCCUACGGGAGGCAGCAGUAGGGAAUCUUCCGCAAUGGGCGAAAGCCUGACGGAGCAACGCCGCGUGAGUGAUGAAGGUCUUCGGAUCGUAAAACUCUGUUAUUAGGGAAGAACAUAUGUGUAAGUAACUGUGCACAUCUUGACAGUACCUAAUCAGAAAGCCACGGCUAACUACGUG
rnacentral:rRNA from 1 species